ACCCUAACAGCUAAUGAGAGGAAGCACAGGUUUCCCAGGGCAGCCUCGUGGCAUUUCUCUGUGAAUAGGUAAAAAGGAGAUGAGAGUAAUUCAAGCUAAGGGAGCAAACAGCAGGGACAGAGCGUCCCUCCCUCCCUGUCUGUAGAAAUCAGCAGAUAGCACACCUGCUGCUGCUCAAGCUCCCUCUGCCAAGCAGAGCAGCACAGCUGCAAGACACUGCUUCUGGCCGGCUGCUCUGAGCUCUGCCUGUCUUCUGGGAUGGAGCCCCGCCCAAGGCAAGUUCAACUGGGUUCUUUGGCAGCUGAAGUCUACACGGACCCAGCAGGGAGCGGCGGAGAAAAGUGCCUACUUUGAUGACUUAUUACCCUAGUGCCUUUGAUCUCCACUGUAGAAAAUGCUCUGCUCCAUUUCAGAACAGAUUGCCAUGUGCCCCAUUCUCUGGCCUGUGGAGCAAACCAGCGACAGACCUCACAGAUAGAAAUCCACCAUUGGCCAUUCACAAAGAGAGUUCUCCUAGUAAGGGGAGUGAAUGUGAUGAUCCAUAUUUCCUGGAAAAUCUUCCUAGAGGCCUGAGAUGAUAAAUAUUGCCUGUUCCAGAACAGACCAGGAUGGAUUUUGGAGAGGGAAUAUUAUUCUUGGGAGACAGAAAAAUUGCAACUUGCCAGUUGAUUGACCUCCAUAUGUUCUCUACUCUGCGUUCCACAUUGACUGUGUGCUACACUGCGCGUGUAGAGAUUGCUGACUAUUUACAAGACACUAUUCCAUACUGGAGACACUUGUGAGCAAAUUUGACAUGUCUGCUUCCUCCUGUCUUUUCUUCUACGUCAUACUCAUUGUGAGUAAUUACGAACAUCCAUAUGGGGGAGCCACUUUGAAGUUCUGCACAAAAACAACACAUGACCCUAAAGAUGAAAAAAAUAACUUCCUUCCAUCACAAAGAGUUCACAUUUUCCUCUACAUUCUAUUUUGUGAAAAGGAAAUGAGGACUUGAGUGAAUCUUAAGGUUUUUUUUUCUCCAAAAUAUGGAUAUUAAAUCAGAAACCAAACAAGAAGCAAAGAACAAAAGCCACAGCAACGCAACAGCAACAAAAAAAACGAGGAGUCUUCUGGUUCAAUCCAACGCAGUAACCUGUAUGAUAGGUAACAAUGGUAAUUAUUCCAUAUAUACUCUUUCUAUUAAUAGAAGAAAUGCAAAGAGGAAGAAGUGGACAUCCACUGGCUUCCCUUUAGCUAUUGUGGCCGUCUAUAAAAAGAGAAUUGGAGAAGAGAAUAAUUAUCUCCUUAUUUGGUUCAGGUAAACAGUCAUUUUUUAUUUUCAUAAAGACACUACAAAACAAAAGGCAUUAUUGCAGAAAACUUGGGAUUGUUACUAAAUUAUCAGAUAAUCUCUUCUACUCUACUUUGCUAUUGAUGAAUGUUUUACCUAUUAUCCCCAAUAAUUGUGUAUGGCUAUGUUCCAAAGGAAAUAAAAAUAAUAUUCGGCUUAUGCAUGCUUUUUAUUAGCCAUAUUCUAAGAAGAUUUUUUUUCCAAAACAAGUUUAGUAGUCAUGCUUUCUAUUUUUAAUUUGUAUUUAACACUCCAUUUCAGUUCUCACCAUUCAUGUGCUCUGUGUUUACCUG
rnacentral:lncRNA from 1 species